UACGUAGGGUGCGAGCGUUGUCCGGAAUCAUUGGGCGUAAAGAGCGUGUAGGCGGCUCGAUAAGUCUGCUGUGAAAGUCCAGGGCUCAACCCUGGAAGGCCGGUGGAAACUGUCGGGCUAGAGUCCGGAAGAGGCGAGUGGAAUUCCCGGUGUAGCGGUGAAAUGCGCAGAUAUCGGGAGGAACACCAAUGGCGAAGGCAGCUCGCUGGGACGGUACUGACGCUGAGACGCGAAAGCGUUGGGAGCAAACAGG
rnacentral:rRNA from 1 species